CCCUUAGAUGUUCUGGGCUGCACGCGCGCUACACUGAUGCACUCAACGAGUUUACGACCUUGCCCGAUAGGGUUGGGUAAUCUUUUUAAAAUGCAUCGUGAUGGGGAUAGAUUAUUGCAAUUAUUAAUCUUCAACGAGGAAUUCCUAGUAAGCGCGAGUCAUCAGCUCGUGCUGAUUACGUCCCUGCCCUUUGUACACACCGCCCGUCGCUGCCCGGAACUGAGCCGUUUCGAGAAAGCUGGGGACUGACGGCUUGUGGGUGCGCAAGCACUUCUUGCCGAUGGAAACCAGUUUAAUCGGUAUGGCUUGAACCGGGCAAAAGUCGUAACA
rnacentral:rRNA from 1 species